GCCCUCGUAGCUCAGUGGAUAGAGCAUCGGUCUCCUAAACCGUGUGCGCAGGUUCGACUCCUGCCGGGGGCACCA
rnacentral:tRNA from 1 species